UUCCAAAAUCAAAUGAAUGCUAAACCUCCGAAUAGAUUGAACAGAUCAAGGAAAUAUUUAACAUUUAGGGUGAUAUCUGUUGACACAGCGAGAGAUAAGAUUUAAGUUGUCGCAGGCGUUUCAUAAACGGACUGUGUCAUAUCAAGAGAAUGCGAGAGACAUCACGGUUUACCACAGUAAAAACUAUUUUGUAAAAAGAAAUUAAGACAUUACAAGUUUAACGUUUGUUAAAGUUAAAGUAAUAAUGUAAAUGUAUUUGCCUGUGUAGGUUAAUUUCUGCUUUCUGGCGUCUGCUUUUAAGUAAUUAAAGACUUUUGCCCCCGGGCGCACAUAAACAAACAAAAACACGCGCUUGUGAUUGAAAUCGAAGCUUCGUUUGUCAUUUGUCACGUGAUUUCUUCCAUAACUAUUUUUACAGUCUGUGUAACAACACAAGCAUCUGGCACGCCCAUAAUGUUUGUUAGUGCGCGAACUCGGAGGAUGUUACGUAACAGGGGAGAUUGAUCCUGUGUUGAGAAACGCGCUAUAAUUGUGCCGCACUGCACAUGAUGUCGAAACAAAAAUCUAGCUCUCAGAAAAGAAACGAAUGGGAGGAGAGAAAAAGAAAACAAAAGUAAGACAAACAACUCUUGACGAGUUUCGUUUAGCAGAAACAGCCACAGAAAAUGAACAAGGCCCUUCAAAAAAUCUUACUGCAGGUGAUGAGAAUGUUAGUAAAGCAGAUGGCCUACACCCAGGUCAUAAAGUACUACUGAUAUGUGCUUUAGUCUUUGGGAUCAUACCUGCUGCAGUGGUUGUGUUUUUUUCUGACAUCAGAAUA